rnacentral:lncRNA from 1 species
ACCUCUGUGGUAACAUUUUCUGCCAGUUCCUGAUAUGCUGUUGUGGAAGAAUCAGCAUAGUCACUUUGGAAUGUACGGAACAUUAUGAAUCCUAAUCCCAUUGACCCCUCAUUCGCUGUCGGUGCUGCUGUUGACUUAGUUGUGGUAGCGGUGGCUGUGGUGGUUGUGGGAACAAUUUUGGUUGUCGUUGGUACAGUGGUGUUUGUGGCAGCAGCUGUGGUUGUCGUCGCAGAAGCUGUGGCUGUAGUUGAAGCAGUUGUGGUAUUCGUGCCAGCAGCAGCGGUGGUGGUGGCAGCUGUUGCUGUAGUAGCUCUGGCUGUUGUAGAAGCAGCUGUGUCUGUUGUGGGAGCAACUGUGGUUGUCGUGUUGCCAGCUGUGGAUGUGGUGGGGGCAUUUGUGGUUGUAGUUGGAGCAGCUGCUUUUGUAGGUGUAGCUGCUGUGGUUGUAGUGGAAGCAGCUGUGGUUGUUGAAUGAGCAACUGUGGUAGUUGUGAUGCCUGCUGUGGUGACCGUUGCGGCACCUGUGGUUGUGGUGGCAGCACCUGUGGUUGUUGUGGGAGACACUGUGGUUGAUGUGACUCCAUUUGUGGUUGUAGUUGGAGCAUCGGUGGUUUUUGUGGGAGAAACUGUGGCUGUUGUGACUCCAUUUGUGGUUGGAGCAUCUGUGGUUGUCAUGCCAGCAGCUGUGGUUGUAGUAGGAGCAGUAGUGGUUGUGGUGGCAGCUUCUGUGAUUGUGGUGGUUGCUGCUGUUGUCGUAGUCGAAGCAGCUGUGGUUGUGGUUGCAGCAGUAGCUGUGGUUGUAGUUGGAGCACCUGUGGUUGUUGCAGCAACUGUGGUUGUGGUGGCUGCUGCAGCAGUUGCAGGUGUCGUUGUCAUGGCAGGAGCUGUGGUGGUCAUCAUGGACAUUGUUGAGGUUGUAGUUGGAGCAGCUGUGGUUGUUGAAUGAGCAACUGUGUUACUUGUGAUACCUGCUGUGGUGACCGUGGUGGCACCUGUGGUUGUGGUGGCAGCACCUGUGGUUGUUGUGGGAGAAACUAUGGUUGUUGUGACUCCAUUUGUUGUUGUAGUUGUAGCAUCUGUGGUUGUUGUGGCAGCAGCUGUGGUUGUGGUGGCUGCUGCUGCAGUUGCAGGUGUCGUUGUCAUGGCAGGAGCUGUGGUGGUCAUCAUGGACGUAGUUGAGGUUGUCGUUGGAGAAGCUGUGGUUGUUGAAUGAGCAACUGUGGUAGUUGUGAUGCCUGCUGUGGUGACCGUUGCGGUAAAUGUGUUUGUGGUGGCAGCACCUGUGGUUGUUAUGGGAGAAACUGUGGUUGUUGUGACUCCAUUUGUGGUUGUAGUUGGAACAUCUGUGGUUGUUGUGGGAGAAACUGUGGCUGUUGUGACUCCAUUUGUGGUUGGAGCAUCUGUGGUUGUCAUGGCAGCAGCUGUGGUUGUGGUGGCAGCACCUGUGGUUGUUGUGGGAGAAACUAUGGUUGUUGUGACUCCAUUUGUUGUUGUAGUUGGAGCAUCUGUGGUUGUUGUGGCAGCAGUUGUGGUUGUUGUGGGAGAAACUGUGGAUAAUGUGACUCUAUUUGUCGUUGUAAUUGGAGCAUCUGUGGUUGUCAUGGCAGCAGCUGUUGUUGUAGAAGGAUCAGCAGUGGUUGUGCUAGCGGCUGCUGUGAUUGUCGUGGUUGCUGCUGUUGUUGUAGUCGAUGCAGCUGUGGUUGUUGUGACCGGAAUUGUGGUAGUCAUCAUGCCAUCUGUAGUGGUCGUUGGGGCAGCUGUGGUUGUGGUUGCAGCAGUAGCUGUGGUUGUAGUUGGAGAACCUGUGGUUGUUGUUGCAGCGACUGUGGUUGUGGUGGCUGCUGCAGCAGUUGCAGGUGUCGUUGUCAUGGCAGGAGCUGUGGUGGUCAUCAUGGACAUUGUUGAGGUUGUAGUUGGAGCAGCUGUGGUUGUUGAAUGAGCAACUGUGUUACCUGUGAUGCCUGCUGUGGUGACCGUGGUGGCACCUGUGGUUGUGGUGGCAGCACCUGUGGUUGUUGUGGGAGACACUAUGGUUGUUGUGACUCCAUUUGUUGUUGUAGUUGGAGCAUCUGUGGUUGUUGUGGCAGCAGCUGUGGUUGUUGUGGGAGAAACUGUGGAUGUGCUGACUAUAUUUGUGGUUGUAAUCGGAGCAUCUGUGGUUGUCAGAUUGUUUUUUGUUGAUUCAACAUCAGAUGUUGUUGAAGCAGCUGUGUUUGUUGUAGGACCAGCUGUUGUUGAUGUUGUUGUGGGGGUGGCUGUGGUUGUUGUCGUGGUUGUGGUAGUUGCGGCAACUGUGGUGGCUGCGGAAGUUGUAGUUC